rnacentral:rRNA from 1 species
CCUACGGGUUGCAGCAGUGGGGAAUAUUGCACAAUGGGCGCAAGCCUGAUGCAGCCAUGCCGCGUGUAUGAAGAAGGCCUUCGGGUUGUAAAGUACUUUCAGCGGGGAGGAAGGCGAUAAGGUUAAUAACCUUGCCGAUUGACGUUACUCGCAGAAGAAGCACCGGCUAACUCCGUGCUAGCAGCCGCGGUAAUACGGAGGGUGCAAGCGUUAAUCGGAAUUACUGGGCGUAAAGCGCACGCAGGCGGUCUGUCAAGUCGGAUGUGGAAUCCCCGGGCUCAACCUGGGAACUGCAUUCGAAACUGGCAGGCUAGAGUCUUGUAGAGGGGGGUAGAAUUCCAGGUGUAGCGGUGAAAUGCGUAGAGAUCUGGAGGAAUACCGGUGGCGAAGGCGGCCCCCUGGACAAAGACUGACGCUCAGGUGCGAAGGCGUGGGGAGCAAACAGGAUUAGAUACCCCCGUAGUC